rnacentral:rRNA from 1 species
AGAGUUUGAUCCUGGCUCAGGACGAACGCUGGCGGUGUGCUUCACACAUGCAAGUCGAGCGAAUGAAGAAGGUAGCUUGCUACUUUUGGAUUUAGCGGCGGACGGGUGAGUAAUAUAUAGGAAUCUGCCCUAGAGCGGGGAACAACAGACCGAAAGGUUUGCUAAUGCCCCAUAGGUACGCAGUCUUCGGAUUGUUUAUUAAAGGAGUAAUCCACUCUAAGAUGAGCCUGUAUCCGAUUAGCUAGUUGGCGGGGUAAAGGCCCACCAAGGCUACGAUCGGUAGUUGGUCUGAGAGGAUGAUCAGCCACAAUGGGACUGAGACACGGCCCAUACUCCUACGGGAGGCAGCAGUGGGGAAUUUUACACAAUGGGGGAAACCCUGAUGUAGCGACACCGCGUGAACGAAGAAGCCUUUUGGGGUGUAAAGUUCUGUCGGCUGGAACGAAAAAAAUGACGGUACCAGCAAAGGAAGCAUCGGCUAACUACGUGCCAGCAGCCGCGGUAAGACGUAGGAUGCAAGCGUUGUCCGGAUUUAUUGGGCGUAAAGAGUUCGUAGGCGGUUAUUUAAGUCUGAUGUUAAAUACUGUGGCCCAACCACAGAACUGCAUUGGAUACUGGAUGACUUGAGUGCGGUAGAGGCAAGUGGAAUUCCCAGUGUAGCGGUGAAAUGCGUAGA